rnacentral:rRNA from 1 species
GGGAUUGCCCUAGUAACGGCGAGUGAAGCGGCAACAGCUCAAAUUUGAAAUCUGGCGCAAGCCCGAGUUGUAAUUUGUAGAGGAUGCUUCUGGGUAGCGACCGAUCUAAGUUCCUUGGAACAGGACGUCAUAGAGGGUGAGAAUCCCGUAUGUGACCGGCCCGCACCCUUUACGUAGCUCCUUCGACGAGUCGAGUUGUUUGGGAAUGCAGCUCUAAAUGGGAGGUAAAUUUCUUCUAAAGCUAAAUACCGGCCAGAGACCGAUAGCGCACAAGUAGAGUGAUCGAAAGAUGAAAAGUACUUUGGAAAGAGAGUUAAAAAGCACGUGAAAUUGUUGAAAGGGAAGCGCCUGCAACCAGACUUCGCGGCAGUGUUCCGCCGGUCUUCUGACCGGUUUAUUCUCUGUCGCGAGGCCAUCAUCGUCUGGGCCCGCCGGAUAAGACCUUAGGAAUGUAGCUCACCUUCGGGGGAGUGUUAUAGCCUAGGGUGAUGCGGCGAGGCUCGGGCGAGGUCCGCGCUUCGGCAAGGAUGAUGGCGUAAUGGUUGUCGGCGGCCCGUCUUGAAACACGGACCAAGGAGUCUAACAUCUAUGCGAGUGUUCGGGUGUCAAACCCCUACGCGUAAUGAAAGUGAACGGAGGUGGGAACCGCAAGGUGCACCAUCGACCGAUCCUGAUGUCCUCGGAUGGAUUUGAGUAAGAGCAUAGCUGUUGGGACCCGAAAGAUGGUGAACUAUGCCUGAAUAGGGUGAAGCCAGAGGAAACUCUGGUGGAGGCUCGCAGCGGUUCUGACGUGCAAAUCGAUCGUCAAAUUUGGGUAUAGGGGCG